GGCUCGUAGCUCAGUUUGUAGAGCAUUAAUUGGACUAUAGACAUAGUAUCCCAAAGGUCGGGGGUUCGAUUCCCACCGUGGUCC